rnacentral:rRNA from 1 species
CUACGGGUGGCUGCAGUGGGGGAUAUUGCACAAUGGAGGAAACUCUGACGCAGCAACGCCGCGUGAGGGAAGAAGGUUUUCGGAUUGUAAACCUCUGUUUUCGGUGAAGAAAAAAAUGACGGUAGCCGAAGAGGAAGCCACGGCUAACUACGUGCCAGCAGCCGCGGUAAUACGUAGGUGGCAAGCGUUGUCCGGAUUUACUGGGUGUAAAGGGUGCGCAGGCGGGACUGCAAGUUGGAUGUGAAAAUCUGAGGCUCAACCUCAGAACUGCAUCCAAAACUGUGGUUCUUGAGUGGAGUAGAGGUAAGCGGAAUUCCGAGUGUAGCGGUGAAAUGCGUAGAUAUUCGGAGGAACACCAGUGGUGAAGGCGGCUUACUGGGCUCUAACUGACGCUGAGGCACGAAAGCAUGGGUAGCAAACAGGAUUAGAUACCCGAGUAGUC